CGUGUUUGUGCCUCACGUUGCACUGCCAUCCAUCCAUCCAUCCGUGCUGAGCCACGCACCUUCCCUCGACGACCAACUCAUCGACCGCGAUGCGGCCAUCCGCAUCCGUCGUUUGACAGCAGGUGGUGCGAAAGACGACGGACAUGGACUCACCAUCAUCAGCUCCGACGGGGGGACGCGCCACCCCCGCGGCGUACUCAUGACUUCAGAGGGGGGCCACCGCAGCCCGAGCCCCGACCGUGUCAUGAACACCCAGUCCAACAAAGGGUGUGUUCCGUCCGUCAGUCCGUCGGUGUAGGGCGAGACGACGCGUCUCUCCCGUGUCGGUAGAUCCGGAUGGGACUAGUCCUCCAUGACUGGAGCUGUUUCAAAUACGACGUCGGAAUGGAGCACCGCGGGGAGGUCCGCAACCAAAUGUGGAGCGGGCCCCGAGCCCGGAUGGACGGACGCGGUGUGUCGCGCUACCCAUGAAGGUGGCUGGCAGUCGCUCGUGACCGCGCAUUGCCUGUUACACUAAAGCGCCACCUACAGGCUGAUAAUCAAAAAACACCCUCCGUCUUUUAAAAAUAAAUAAAAAAAUACUUCACUGUAAGGACGCAGAAAAAAACAAACCUCCCCUAAAGAAGGACCCACAAAAAAUACCUCAAACCCAAAACAGACAACAGGUGAAUCGUCACGAUCAUCACCGUGGUGUCAUUUUUACUCGACAGCUCAUGACAAAAUGGCCGCCCACUGAACAGGUGGACGUUGCUAUUUUAAUUUUAAUUCUUAUUCCACAAAAUGCUAUGUAAUGGGGCCUCCUAUUACAUAUUCAAGUCUGCAACAAAGUAAUUUGAAUCAACUUGCUGAAUACCUAGCAAACAAUUUCAACAGCAUGUGUGUUACAUGAUUUUCUAGUCAGGAAUACAUACAGUAUGUGUUAUUGUGGGUAAUGUGUUAUUUUUAUACACUGGAAAAGGUUUAACUGGUUAUAAUCUGUAUACAGUAAUUAAGUUAGUAACAAACUUGAGUUGAACAGAAUGAAUAAAGUGAUCAGUAAUGAGAAAAGUAGUU